CGAGAUUUGACCCUUCACAUCUUAAAAAUGGCGACUUACAGAAAUGGAGUCUGAGCUGAUCAAUAAUUAUUCCCUUAUCACAUCCCUAGAAGUGUGAAAGCGCCCAUUUCCUAUGAUGAUACAAGUUUUGUUCUUGUGCCAUCUGUAGAUCUUUGAAGAUGAAAAAAUUUGGUGUUUAUGUCAACAAGGUGCACUAUGAUAUCCUGGAUUUUUGUCUCCAUAAACACUCAUUUCCAGAUACCCAAGUAUUUAACUCAAAUUUAAGUUGCUG
rnacentral:misc_RNA from 1 species